GCCUAACGGCUGAACUGGCAACUUGGAGAAGUGGCAAGUCUUCCAGUAUGGGGAGCAAAACAGCUAUGGGUCAAGUCCGAUAUCUUUAGGAGAAGUCUUAUUGUGAGGGCGAGUUAUAUAACACCAUAGGACUGGCCGUCCCAUAUGAAAAGAUUAUAUUAGAAUUGAAUGAAGCUUUGUUUAUAUAUUGAUAAUGACAGUAUAUAUAUCGUGUCUUGACUAAUUGCGUGCCAGCAGUCGCGGUAAUACGUAAGAGACUAGUGUUAUUCAUCUUAAUUAGGUUUAAAGGGUACCCAGACGGUCAAUAUAGCUUAUAAAAUGUUAGUACUUGACUAGAGUUUUAUGUAAGAGGGCAGUACUUGAGGAGGAGAGAUGAAAUUUCGUGAUACCAAAGGGACUCUGUAAAGGCGAAGGCAGCCCUCUAUGUAAAAACUGACGUUGAAGGACGAAGGCACAGAGAACAAACAGGAUUAGAUACCCAAGUAGUCUUUGCAGUAAAUGAUGAAUGCCAUAGGUUAGAUUGAUCAAUUAUAGUCUAGGGUUAGUCUAGCAAACUAAUGCCCUAUGAUAUAAUUCAAAAUAUCUGGUCUAUAAAUGAAAGUGUAAGCAUUUCACCUCAAGAGUAAUGUGGCAACGCAGGAACUGAAAUCACUAGACCGNUUCUGACACCAGUAGUGAAGUAU
rnacentral:rRNA from 1 species